ensembl:snoRNA SNORD18 Small nucleolar RNA SNORD18
GCAAAAUGAUGAGAUUUGCUUCAGGUCCGUGUUUUUGAUUUUACUUGAUAGCAAUUGAAGUUCUGAUGAU